GCAAGUCGAACGGUAACAUUUCUAGCUUGCUAGAAGAUGACGAGUGGCGGACGGGUGAGUAAUGCUUGGGAAGCUGCCUAGAGGUGGGGGAUAACAGUUGGAAACGACUGCUAAUACCGCAUGUUUUCUUUGGAACAAAGCAGGGGCUCUUCGGACCUUGCGCCUUUAGAUGCGCCCAAGUGAGAUUAGCUAGUUGGUAGGGUAAAGGCCUACCAAGGCGACGAUCUCUAGCUGGUCUUAGAGGAUGACC
rnacentral:rRNA from 1 species